CGACAACUGUACCGAGUCAGGACCGUCACAGCAGCGCUCUUUCCUUCUAUACAGCCUUUUCUCAGUUACUGAAAAACAAAUCACCCCCAAGCAAACAAACAAAGAGAUGUAUGAAGACGGAAGGUAUGGCAUUGCCUGCCAAAGGAAGCUCCGAGGUGGGUCCUUUCCCCAUGCCUGACCUGUUGCCUUGUUGCCUCUGGGAAGGAGAGAUGGAGGUGGGCUUGGUGUGCAAAGGUGUGCACAGUCCUGGAGCAGAUGGAAGCCAUCUGCACAUGGAAGAGCUCCCCAGGUUCAAGGUGACAGUUUCUCUCCGCUCGUCUUUCGGCACAAUCUAGCUCUGCAUUUUGGAGUUAGACAUUGAGAAUCCGGAUGUUGUUUUGCAGAGGAAGGGACUGACUCUGAGAAGCUAAGCCUAUUCCCCAGUAAGCUCCCUUAUCUACCACAACUAAUCUCAUGGUCUUCCACAGUCUGAAGGGCUGAGAAGAUCAGGCUGGGGCUGGGGAUCUGGCUGAGUUGGUAGAGUACUUGCCUAACAUGCAUGAAGCCCUGGGUUUGAUCUUCAGUACUACAUCAACUGGGCAUGGGAGUACACACCUGUAAUCUACAUUUUUGGAGGCAGAGUCAGGAGGAUCAGAAGUUCAAGGUCAUCCUCAGCUAUAAAUUAAUUUGUCUACUUUAGACCCUGCCACAAACCAAACUGGAGGCUGGAGCUGAGCUCAUCUGGACCCAGUGCUCUUUCUGCCUUCCUGUGGCCCCAGGCAAGUCCCAUGAUCUCUCCGAGCCGCCAUCUCUUCAUUUCUACCAACACCUGCUGCAGCUUCCCAACCCACACAGUGCCUUCCAAUCCAUCAGGGGCAGCUCAGCCUGCACCUCCUAGCAAAUCAUUACAACAGCCUUCUGCAGCUUUGUUAUUGAGACGAGAACAAGAGAAGUAAAUGUUCCUAGUUACUGAAGAAGACAUUGGUAAAAGGAAACCAGGAGGCAGAAAAUUCACAAUCCAUCCUCGGGAGCUUCACCCGAUUCCUGUUUGGAGGAAAAGAAGGAGGAGGCUGGGGAAAGCCCACUACUCACUUAGUAACUACCAAUGAGAUUCAGUACAGGACCAAAAAUAGAAAUCUUCCCAGGAAAGUAGCGUGUUUCACAGCGCCACGCCAAAAAGGAAAGAAAAAAAGAAUUAACAUAGGGAAGCCAUUUAAAGCAGGAAAAAUAUUUGUAUGUAAAAGGAAAUAUUUUAGGCAGGAGUUGAAUGCCAAAUGAUUUUGGGACUCUGUAGGGAGUAAUGAGGCAUAGACACACAAUGCUGUAUGCAUGUGAUAUUAUCUUCGGCCGCCUUGGAAAGCUCUUAAAUCACGAAGAUGCAGUUAGGGACCAUUGUACAAAAUAAACAUCCCACUUGGUGUCCCGCCUGCCCCUAAGUUCCCUGAUCUAGAGCGGCACUGGCAGAUUUUUACAGCCCUGUAAAUUAACGUGGUGCUGAUUUGAUUGAGCUAAAUUAAUAAGACUUGCGCUUUGUUGCAAAAUAACUAUUACAGUAUGUUGUGAGGACGCACUGCCGAUAAGGAAAUUGCCGCCUUUAACAAUCCCACUGAAGUUUCAUGGAGGAUUUCAAAACCGAUUUUAAUUAAAACAAAAGCUGAUGUGUGGUAAUAAUGUGGAUGUUAAGGAGAGAAAAUGUGAAAUGCCUUUUUAAAUCCAUUUUAAUAUGUCUUAAGGACUGGAUGAUGGAUGGGCUAAGAGCCUGCGGCUGACAUUGAGCUGGGAGGCUGCCUGGGCGACUAGCUCGAGUGACUUCAGCACCCGGCACACCCGCAGGGCCUGUGCCAUGGCUCAGCUUCUGGGCUAGGGGUGGCCUCCCAAGGUGGAGCUGCAGGGGGAUGGCCCCCUUUUCACAGUCCUAAUGGCCUUGCCACUUGGUUCUCCUGGCUUCAUUGGCUGUGUCACAGGCCAACAGGGCCACAGUCCUCAGGAGGCCCUGUCUAAAGACCAGUGUUUCCAAAACUCUUUUAAGUCACCACUGGGACCUCAGAGGCACAGGGUUUGAAAUAAGAAGCCAAUGGCACAUGGAAACAGGAGGCAGGCUGUGUCCUGAAGCACAGGGGUCAGUGAAGAAAGCCUGGCAGAAAGCAGCAGAGGCCUGGCUCCACAGUAAAGAUUGUGCCAAGACUCAAUGCCAAAGCCACUGUGUGUCCCGGGUGAGAAAAGGCCCCAGACUUUGAAGAGACAUGCCUAUGAGACCCACUCUAAGUUUCAAGCCCCUAUGAUCUCAGUGUCCUCGGCUGUAAAAUGAGAACAAUGAUAGAAUUUACUGCACACAGCUGGCGUGAGGACUAAAUAAGAUUAGCGUCUGGUGUGUGUCAGCCUGAAGUUGGUAGUCAUUGGUAUAAGAGGAGUAACUGUGGUACACCUUGCUUCCCACUGUUCACAUUUUUUUUUCUUCUGGUUUUCCGAGACAGGGUUUCUCUGUGUAGCUUUGGAGCCUAUCCUGGCACUUACUCUGGAGACCAGGCUGGCCUCGAACUCACAGAGAUCUGCCUGCCUCUGCCUCCCGAGUGCUGGAAUUAAAGGCAUGUGCCACCAACACCCAGCCC
ensembl:lincRNA